GAUGAACGCUGGCGGCGUGCCUAAUACAUGCAAGUCGAGCGAACAGACGAGGAGCUUGCUCCUCUGACGUUAGCGGCGGACGGGUGAGUAACACGUGGAUAACCUACCUAUAAGACUGGGAUAACUUCGGGAAACCGGAGAUAAUACCGGAUAAUAUAUUGAACCGCAUGGUUCAAUAGUGAAAGACGGUUUUGCUGUCACUUAUAGAUGGAUCCGCGCCGCAUUAGCUAGUUGGUAAGGUAACGGCUUACCAAGGAAACGAUGCGUAGCCGACCUGAGAGGAUGAUCGGCCACACUGGAACUGAGACACGGUCCAGACUCCUACGGGAGGCAGCAGUAGGGAAUCUUCCGCAAAGGGCGAAAGCCUGACGGAGCCACGCCGCGUGAGUGAUGAAGGUCUUCGGAUCGUAAAACUCUGUUAUUAGGGAAGAACAAAUGUGUAAGUAACUAUGCACGUCUUGACGGUACCUAAUCAGAAAGCCACGGCUAACUACGUG
rnacentral:rRNA from 1 species